rnacentral:rRNA from 1 species
CCAUCGAAAGGUGUUGGUUGNUAUAGACAGCAGGACGGUGGCCAUGGAAGUUGGAACCCGCUAAGGAGUGUGUAACAACUCACCUGCCGAAGCAACUAGCCCUUAAAAUGGUAUGGCGCUGAAGCAUUCUCCCGAUACUCGACCGCCGGGUGGGCUGUCGGCACCGACCUCGUCCCAGAGGCGAUGAUGCCUCGGAGCCCCGGUGAGUAAGAGGGUCGCAGUGGUGAGCGCUGAAGGGAUCCGGCGUGAGCUGGCCUGGAGCCGCCACUGCUGCAGAUCUUGGUGGUAGUAGCAAAUACUCGAGAGAGAGACUCCCUCGAAGACCGAUGUGGAGAAGGGUUCCAUGUGAACAUCAGUUGGACAUGGGUUAGUCGCUCCUAAGCCCAAGGCUAAGGCCUGAUCCCAUGCUAGCGGC